CCUAGUUUUCACUGUUUUGGAUUAGCCCAACCCACACAGGGUGAGUGAGUCUCCCGCAGGUAAACGCGGAGCCCGGGACCGGGGACCGGGGACCGGCCCCGCGGACGGACUCAGCCCCGUGUGUGGAGGAGCUUCAGGACACAUUUAAAACACACACAGCUCUUGUCACGGCUGCUUUUUGGGGAAGAAUUAACAAACGGAAGCUGUUGAAAGUCGACAGGUGGCGCUGGUUUAUGAAAUAAUGUUGUUUUAGCAGCAGCUUUAGCAGGAUGAGCUAGCAUGCUGCUAACGGCUAGCUCGCGCUCGCUGUGCGGCUUCGUCGCCUUUGAUUUCAGGUUAAAGAAACAUGUUUAACUCUGAAUUAGCAGCAGCACACACACACACACACACACACGCUGUUGUUGUGAUCACGUGAUCUACAUGUAUCCAACACGCAGAGCCCACGUGAUCACAACAGCUGCUGGAGCAGAAUGGACUGUUUAUAUCCGAUAUAUUAUUGGUAAUAUCCAAUAUAAUCUGAGGCUCGUUUAUUGGCUGAUAUUGGACCGAUAUCUGGACACGAGGACAUCAGGGCAUCUCUAUUUGAAAUGAUGAUGAACGACUGACUAGGACACUGAUGGUUCUGAUAUCGGUAUGGUAUUGGACUCAAAAAGAAGCGAUACAGUGAUCUCACCGCGUCGCCCCCUCAUCCAACGCUCACGGCUGUGUAAACACCCCUGACCGUGAGAAAUGGUGCGUUCCAUUUGUAGUCGGCGUUCCUGAACUCGGAUUUCCAACUCGGAGCGACUUCACCAACAGAUUCCUAGAUUCCAAGAGUCAUCAUCGAACGCCUCGACCCUGACGGACACACGAGGAAAGCUGCUCCUCCCUCCUCAACUUAACUCCGCCUGCGACCGCGAAAAACACCACCACCCAGUUACCAAAGUACACCGCCAGGUGGCGCCUCCAGGCUGUGGCGUAAUUAGCAGACACCGGCUCCAAUCAGCAGCAUUGAUUUGCAGCUGCUCCUGGUUCGGCUCGUCUCGGC